UUCCUUCCACUAGGUGACACCCUCUUAAGGGUGGCACCCAUUUAUAACAGCAGCAACUUGACCUCCAAACCUUCAACACAGAAGCCUUUUUGGGGAUACUUAAGAUCCCAAUAAUAACAAUGGCAUUAUGCUGUUCUUCCGAGACAAAAAUGGAAAGAUACCUUCAUAAAUGUAUAUAAUUAGAAAAUAUACAAACCCUGUGUUCUUUCUGAAAGUAAAAUUUGGAAAAAAUUUACUAUUUAUAAAAUAUGAAAUAUAUCAAGAUUAAGAACUGAUGAACUGAAAAGCUGUAGUAUAAAAUUUUAACAGCAUUUACUGAAACCAUUUAAGCAGUUAUGCAACUGUUAUAAAACUAAAUAAUUUUUGAAAAGAAACUUCAAGAUCUGAAAGCAUCAUUUAAUGAAAAUAAUUGCAAUGUAAAAUUCAAGAUUUGAAAUAAAAAGUAAAGUUAAAAAUGGUGAGAAGGAAGACAUUAAAGAAAAAAAAGAGGAACAAAUGCCAUACUCUAUUACAGUUUUAUUCUUCUCUGAUAACUAAACAAAUUUCUUGUGAAAGAUUUUGUAAAUGAAAUAUUUCAAACUUUCAGAAGAGCAUCUUAAAGGAAAACAUAUUCAAUGAUACUUGGUAAAGCUUGGUAAGGAAGACUUUAUCAAGGAACAUUGUGUAGGUAUAGGGCUCACAACAGUGGGAUUUUGCAGUGGUAGAAAGAGCUUGGUUGUAACUCUGAAUACAGGAUGGACAAGUUGGAAUUUAUAGGCAAGGAACAAGGUGGGAAUAAACAGAUGGACAAUGACUAAGAGGAAACAUCAAAGGUAAAGAAGUUUCUGGCUAAACCAACAUAAGAAAAUUAUUGUUGAAGACAACCCAGGGAAAUUGGGCAUCACCUGGGGAAUAAUGGAGGACAAGGAGCCCAGUCAGGCCAUCAUGGGUGAUGAGAUAUUAAAGCCCCUGUUUAUCUGCAGCUUCAGGAAACAGGAGACUGAAGGUCACCUGGGGAAAGAAGAGCAGAGAAAUGAAUUCCAGAUUUCCAGAGAUAAGUGCAUAUUACUUUUUAGGAGGCGACAUGUUUCUUACAGAAUCAAGUAAGAACAAACAAGAAGUGAGUCUUGCAAUUAGAACUGGGCCUUGGAAGAACUGAAUAGAAGAUAUGAGAUUGUUUCUUCUGGAAAAGAUAAAUAAGUAGGUGAUCCUGCCCAGCAGUUGCAGGCGACCUUCUGAAUGACUGGCCCUCCUUGUCUGUCUUCUCAACACCGUGACAGAGGGUGGGAAGAACAUGUGCUAAACUUCUGCUCUCCCCAUAGUCACAGGCAAAAGGGAGAAUGGGUUGUCCCAAUAUCAAUGUCCUUUCCUCCUUAUUCCCAGUAAUUAAAUAUUUUAUUUGAUUAUUAA